CGCAAGCCCAUCACGGCGCCCAUUGGCUCGGAGGACCCAGGGGGCGGGGCCAAGGCGUCCAUCGUGGCGGUCGCCCGCCCAGGCAGGGGGCGUCUGGGCAUUUUUCGCGCGGGCGACGGGCAGACGUCUCCGGUCUCUGGGCUGCUGAGGGGGCGGAGUCAUGGGCUCGUUGGAGGCAGAGUCAGACGGAGUUUCCUCAGUAAAUGGAUUUCCCCCCUCAAGCCUGACGCACUUUCACCUGGAAUGACAAGAGUUUAAUUCCAGACUGAGAGAGGUCCUGUCUGAGGAAUUUUUACUGAGACUGACGGAGUUUUACCUCCGCCGGACAGGCCCAGAGCAGAGCAGGAACUGGAGACUGCGGCCUUAGGUUCUGGGUCUGCAAUGGUCAGUAAGUCUCGUAGCUGGUGAUUGGAAGAUACGCAAGAAGUGUAAAGAUAGACGGGUUCCAGGCAAUUCUUUGGUGUUAUGAAGUCAGGAUCUUGCCUUGGUUUUGAUGACUUAGCUUCCGUUUGGUACAUCUGUUUUUGCAGAGUGUUUCAUGACUAAGUUCAGUAAAUGAUACUUACUUGAAGAACUGGAUUUACUCAAGUUCAACCUUCCCAGACACAUACACACCCGAGGCGCUGACUCCAAAAUAACAGCAACUGGAUCCCUCUCCCUUUGGUGAGGUGGCCCUUGCCUUUGGGUGAUGCUGUGAGUUUUUUUCAAGACCUGGCUCGUAAAAGACUGGAUUUCCGCAGAAUGGCCCAGGGACUCGCAACAUUAAAAAAAAAGAAAAUCUAUUUAUAGCUGACUUUGUGCAUCUGAUAUUCCCAUGGGGAAAGACAGCAAGCUGAACAUUUUCUAUUCUCUUCUCUCACAAUCUUUUUUUUUUUUCCAUGAAAACAGCCAGGAUUUAUGUGGUUCCAUGAGCCAGCUAGAUAAAAUAAAGACCAAACUCUGGUUUGGUGGAUAAAGGAGAUAUGAGAAGAGAAAAGCUUUGAGAGUGAAGAGGGAAUAGAAUUAGGAUUGCUUCCGAGAAGAUUGGAACAGAGACCAUCUAUCUUCCAUUUCCAGACCCUGUAAGAAUGGUCCUCACAACCGGGGGACGAGGGGCCUGGGCUUGUGACAUAGAUGGAUGGACUUCAGGCUGGUUUUCAGCUCCAACACACUAGUUAGGUUACCUUGGACAGGUUACUUACCCUCUCUGACCCUCAAUUUCCCUGUCAGUAAAAUGAGAAUCAGGGUUGAACAAGAUAAUGUGUUAAACACCAUUUGUGACACAGAGAAAGCACACAAGGCAUGUGAUGUACAUUGUUACCGAGGACAGUCGAUCCUCAACACCAAGUGCCAUUCCCACGUGCCUCCUGGUUUCCCAUUCAUCUCACUCUUUCUUCCAUCUUCUGAUAUUUGGUAGCUAAGAAGUUCGACGGGUCCCAGAAUGCUAAGCAGAACAAUGGAGGGUCCAAGUCUUUAAAAUAUGUCCAAGUAUAAAAUCUGAUCACUGGUCACAAGCAGGGAUGGGGUCUGUGAAGCAGCAGGUAUGUCGUAGUGAUGCACACUAGGUGAGUUUUCCCCAGUUGCUCCCUCUCCCAGCCAGAGAACAAAAUGCCCACUUGACCCCUGGGUGGGCCAGUCCUGGCCACCAGCUGCCAAUGACCGACUCUGUCAGUGUGACCUAAGACAACAUUCCCAGCAGAGGGCUGCAAACAUUUACAGACCCGUGACCUACGGUGAGAUUUGGGGGCAGGGCUUGGAUUCCGCCAUACCUGGGGGUGGGUGGCUUGUGGGAGCUGCACUGCACAGAGCAGGUGAGCGAGGCUGCAGGAUCUGGGAAAGAAGAGGUUGGGUUCUCCACUUUCAUAAAGGGACCCUGUUGUUUCAUACUAAACAAUCAUUUUCCAUUUGAAAAUGGGUUGUAUUUUCCAACUGAGAGCUCCAGAAUUAUAGUUGAUUACAGUCCUUGGGAUCCACAAUAUGUUUCCAAAAGCUCUUGUCAUGGUCCGUGCCUGCCUGAUCCACAGCCUUGUGGGGAGCUGAGAGGUGGAGGACCGACCCCUGAACUUGAGCAGGACCAUAGGGCUUAGUGCUUGGCUCUGCUGGGUGAGCUGGAAUAAACCAUGAACCUCUUUCGGGA